UACAGAGGGUGCAAGCGUUGUUCGGAAUUAUUGGGCGUAAAGGGCGCGUAGGCGGCCAAUCAAGUCAGGGGUGAAAUCCUUGGGCUCAACCCAAGAAUUGCCUUUGAAACUGUUUGGCUGGAGUAUUGGAGGGGAGUGCGGAAUUUCUAAUGUAGCGGUGAAAUGCGUAGAUAUUAGAAGGAACACCGGUGGCGAAGGCGGCACUCUGGACAAUUACUGACGCUGAGGCGCGAAAGCGUGGGGAGCAACAGG
rnacentral:rRNA from 1 species